UGCUGCAGGAGAGACCCUGGGGCCUGAAUAUUUUCCACCCAGCUUUGCUGCCUUGCUCAGCCCUGGGCUUACCCACGAGAAGACCUGCAGCCACAUCCUCGUUCCAUCCAGCUGACCCAGCAGUCUCCAAGAAGAGGACAUAAAAGGUCUGACCUAUAGGCCUGGGAGAGUUGUUGGGCCCUGCUGCAGGAGAGAUCCUGGGGCCUGAGUAUUUGCCAUCCGGAAUUGAUGCCUUGCUCAGCCCUGGGCUUACCUUUUACACUAGCACUUUAUACCGCCUUACCCCAUGAGGAUCCUGUCUUUUCCCAGGCCCUAAUCCCCAAGAAGGAAUGAACAAACAAAUGAAGAGAGGAAGGAAGUCAAUAAAGAGAGGGAGGAAGGAACAAAGUCAAGAAAGGAAGGGAAGAAGGAAAGAAGCAAGCGAGGAGGCCUGGAGUGAGAGGGCCAGUGGAAAUUUGAACAGAGUCUGCAAUUGGUCCCCAGGCUCGACUUUGGACAUGCCUGUUUUAAGGUGUCAACAUCAAAGGCCCUCUUUAGAAUUCCUCCAUAGAUACAACCUGCAAGCUGCAACUGAAAGAAGGAAGCCACUCAAACACUGUUACUUGUUGCAGAAAAUGUAUACAGACACUGUGAGCAAAAUCAAAUGUUGGAUUGAAGAGAAAUAGACUCACUAAAAUGGAUGAGACUUGUUAUUCACCAUUUAAAUAUGUCCCAUCAAUUUCAAUGGAUCUACUUUAAUUUCUUGUGCAAUAGUAUAAUGAUAAUAAAGCUAUUUAUUAUCCUGUGUGAUCAAGUCUGCGUAUCCAGCAGAGUAUAGCUUGAUGUUGACAAUCACCUCCAUUUAAAAUAUGCUCUGUAUUAUCCUGGGCUGAUUAUUUUCCCAUACAAAACUGCCAUUUUGCCAUAUGUGUCAUGACCCAAUUAAUUUUCAAGAUAUGUAUAUAUCUUGGCCUAUAUACUUAUUUUCCAUGAUGUCAAAUACAUUGCUAAAGAGGAAGGGGGGGAG